rnacentral:lncRNA from 1 species
GGAAUCAUCGAAAAUAUUCCCACCUAAAACACUGGACAACAAGAAUAGGGAUGAAAAAUGAAUGGAUUUAUUAUAUGUUUGGCUAUUGCUACCCAACUCAAAAAAUAAGUUAUCACAAAGGUCUACCCAAACUCAUAUCAGCUAUCGCAACAAAGACUUGAGCCUAAUGAUAAACUCAUCUAUGACUAUGUCAUGAAACUAGGGGCAAUUGUUCUAUCCUAAUAUCAAGAUCGAUGAAUAUUGGACGACCACUAGAUUUGAAUCCAAUUAUUAAGAAUGGAAGAUUUCGUCUAAACAAAUUUUGUUAUGUUCACGAGGUCGGCCUAGCUAGAGGAAAUGACGGCAACAUAGGGCAUUACCAAGUUAGCACUAGUCAAGAUAGAAAACCUUCCUUCAUGCCACAGGCAAGGCCAUGCCGCUUGAGAAAUACAUCAUUGUUAGUCUAACAGGCCAAGAAAGGGCAGGCCCAUGUCAUUUCCAAUGAUGGUAGACCUCCCUUUCUAGUGCAGAUCACUCCACCCACAAUAUAAAUAGAUGGAGCCACCCAUGAGGAAGACAUGAAUUCUCACUCUACUCUCCUUCUGUAAGCAUAUACUUAUAAAUAAUGAAUUGAGCGUCAAAAUCACUUUUCCGAUAUCCACCCAAGGCGGUCCAAAACUAAUAAUUGUCUGGAUUCAACAAGAAGAUCCAGAUCCAACCAACUCUCUCCAACACAGAAUAACACAUCGAAAGUGUCAAGCUUAUAAGUAUAAGAACUUUGCGAAAUCUGUGAUAACACUACGCCAGAGUUGUCGUGCAACAAUGCUUAUUUUAGAUGUAUAACAACAAUUUCAUGCGCUUUCUGUUUGACCGUAGUAGUAUAUGGUCAUCAUUAACAACACUCCACAAACGUUGUUAUAUUGAUUAUAUACCACAAUGCAACAAACAAAAAGCAUUGUCAUAUAGUGCAUCAAUACAACAACGCAUCACCCACCA